rnacentral:rRNA from 1 species
GUAGUCAUAUGCUUGUCUCAAAGAUUAAGCCAUGCAUGUCUAAGUAUAAGCAAUUAUACCGUGAAACUGCGAAUGGCUCAUUAAAUCAGUUAUCGUUUAUUUGAUAGUACCUUACCACUUGGAUAACCGUGGUAAUUCUAGAGCUAAUACAUGCUAAAAACCCCGACUUCGGAAGGGGUGUGUUUAUUAGAUAAAAAACCAAUGCCCUUCGGGGCUCUUUGGUGAUUCAUGAUAACCUAACGGAUCGCAUGGCCUUGCGCCGGCGACGGUUCAUUCAAAUUUCUGCCCUAUCAACUUUCGAUGGUAGGAUAGUGGCCUACCAUGGUGGCAACGGGUAACGGGGAAU